UGCAAAGUUUUCAAGGUUAAAACUAGAAUAAGACUUCUAUAUCCAACGUUAAGGAAUCACUCGCCCUCUCAAAAUUUUCUACUUACCUGCAGUUCCUGCAAUGAAUUGCAUAUAUUAAUAGGACUUCUAGUAUCCAAUACCCAAGUAGUAGUAUCACAAACAAAGAAAUUACAAGGAGUUAUCAUAUAAGUAUCUUGUGAAGCAACUCCUUGCUUCUUUCUCUUAUUUUUAGGUCAGUUUGGAUCAAGGGUGGCUAUAUAAGCAGGACAAGUCCUUUUCCAAUGAUCCAGCUUCUUAUAGAAGAAGCACUCUGCCUGGCUCUUGUCAAUUUUUGAUGGUUUUCUCUGCAUG
rnacentral:lncRNA from 1 species